rnacentral:rRNA from 1 species
UUUACGGAGAGUUUGAUCCUGGCUCAGGAUGAACGCUGGCGGCGUGCUUAACACAUGCAAGUCGAACGGUGAAGGGGGGCUUGCUCUCUGGAUCAGUGGCGAACGGGUGAGUAACACGUGAGCAAUCUGCCCCUGACUCUGGGAUAAGCGCUGGAAACGGCGUCUAAUACCGGAUACGAGCUGCGAAGGCAUCUUCAGCAGCUGGAAAGAACUUCGGUCAGGGAUGAGCUCGCGGCCUAUCAGCUAGUUGGUGAUGUAACGGCUCACCAAGGCGUCGACGGGUAGCCGGCCUGAGAGGGUGACCGGCCACACUGGGACUGAGACACGGCCCAGACUCCUACGGGAGGCAGCAGUGGGGAAUAUUGCACAAUGGGCGAAAGCCUGAUGCAGCAACGCCGCGUGAGGGACG